AGAGUUUGAUCCUGGCUCAGGAUGAACGCUGGCGGCGUGCUUAACACAUGCAAGUCGAACGGAGCGCCGGACACGGACUAUUUCGGUAGGAAGAGUGCGGAGGCUUAGUGGCGGACGGGUGAGUAACGCGUGGAUAACCUGCCGCAUACCGGGGGAUAACAGCUGGAAACAGCUGCUAAUACCGCAAAUGCCCGCAGUGCCGCAUGGCACAGCGGGGAAAACUCCGGUGGUAUGCGAUGGGUCCGCGUCUGAUUAGGCAGUUGGCGGGGUAACGGCCCACCAAACCGACGAUCAGUAGCCGGCCUGAGAGGGCGGACGGCCACACUGGGACUGAGACACGGCCCAGACUCCUGCGGGAGGCAGCAGUGGGGAAUAUUGCACAAUGGGGGAAACCCUGAUGCAGCGACGCCGCGUGAAGGAAGAAGUAUCUCGGUAUGUAAACUUCUAUCAGCAGGGAAGAAAACAGACGGUACCUGACUAAGAAGCCCCGGCUAACUACGUGCCAGCAGCCGCGGUAAUACGUAGGGGGCAAGCGUUAUCCGGAUUUACUGGGUGUAAAGGGGGCGCAGACGGCCAUGGCAAGCCCGGUGUGAAAGGCAGGGGCAUAACCCCUGGACUGCACUGGGAACUGUCAGGCUGGAGUGCCGGAGGGGUAAGCGGAAUUCCUGGUGUAGCGGUGAAAUGCGUAGAUAUCAGGAGGAACACCGGCGGCGAAGGCGGCUUACUGGACGGCAACUGACGUUGAGGCCCGAAAGCGUGGGGAGCGAACAGGAUUAGAUACCCUGGUAGUCCACGCCGUAAACGAUGUAUACCAGGUGUCGG
rnacentral:rRNA from 1 species